AUUGAACGCUAGCGGGAUGCUUUACACAUGCAAGUCGAACGGCAGCGCGGACUUCGGUCUGGCGGCGAGUGGCGAACGGGUGAGUAAUGUAUCGGGACGUGCCCAGUAGCGGGGGAUAACUACGCGAAAGCGUAGCUAAUACCGCAUACGCCCUACGGGGGAAAGCAGGGGAUCGUAAGACCUUGCACUAUUGGAGCGGCCGAUAUCGGAUUAGCUAGUUGGUGAGGUAACGGCUCACCAAGGCGACGAUCCGUAGCUGGUUUGAGAGGACGACCAGCCACACAGGGACUGAGACACGGCCCAGACUCCUACGGGAGGCAGCAGUGGGGAAUUUUGGACAAUGGGGGCAACCCUGAUCCAGCCAUCCCGCGUGUGCGAUGAAGGCCUUCGGGUUGUAAAGCACUUUUGGCAGGAAAGAAACGUCGCGGGCUAAUACCCCGUGGAACUGACGGUACCUGCAGAAUAAGCACCGGCUAACUACGUG
rnacentral:rRNA from 1 species